UCCAUCAUCACAAAUUCAUGUUAUCUCAUUAGGGUUUUGCAUUCCUGUGCUCGCGAUGCUAGGGUUUUAAAACAAAAGCUGCGAUGAAGAGAAACGAAGUUAAAUUACGAUGAUUGCGGAUCGAUUUCGCAAGAUGAUUCACUAUUUUCUUAUUAUGGGUUAAUUUCUAUUUCGUAAAAGCUGUAGCAGAAAUUGGAAGUGAUGAUUAUUUCCCCAGAUGAUCGAAGUUGAUUAUACUGAGCGCAUUUUUUAAAUUCUCUCCAUCAGAGAGAAUCCAAGCCAGAAAUCUGAUCCUCAUUUCUGUAUUUUUCCAUUAUUCACACAUCAUUUAAUGAUUACAACUUUACAUUUAAUCCGAAAGGAUAUCUUUUGUAGAAUCUGAUUUACAGUGCUAGUGUGCCGACUUUUAAUUUUAUAUAUGAUAUUUUAAAGUUUCUAUAAAUAAGUUGGAAGUGAUGAUUAUUUCCCCA